ensembl:lncRNA
GGGGUGUCUGAGGCCCCCCCAAUCUGCCUGGGGCCGAGGCAGCCCCAGAGCCACUGAGCGACCCAGUGACCCCUGCGACCCCUGCAGGGAGGUCAUCAGGCAGGAGGUCCGGCCUCCGUCUGCACCAGGACGCCGGCUCCUCCCUCCCAACUCAGACGGCACACGUGACUGAGCAGCCAGACCACCAACAAGACCCUGAUCCAGUCCAAGCUCCAGAGCUACCAGAGGCUGUGGUCCGGUCUGUGGAGGCUGAACCUCCCUCUAAGAGGAGGAGAGCGUUGUCCGGUUCCAGGCAAAGGAAAAAGCCCAGUCCGAGCGCUGCUGUCGCUGAGCCGGCUGAGGGGCCCCAGGACCCCCCCAGCAAGAAGAGGAGAGGGGCCCGUCGACAAGGGGAGCAGGCCCCGGUGGAGGUCCAGCCCAGGUCUACCGGGACGAGGCAGACCAGAAGGGCCUUCGCUGGGAAGGCCCCGAGUGCUGAUGUCCCCCAGUCGCAGGGCUCCACUGACACACCACCACCACCAGGGUCCACUGGGCUUCUGGAGGCUGAGCAGGGCGGGCGCACCCCAGACGAGGCCGGUGACGCCAGCCGGCCAAUAGAAACCCAACCUCCUAAAGCACCUGCUCUGAAGAGGAAGCCCAAGGGGUUCCUCUCGUUCCUCGCAGGCCCGGUGACCCCGGGCCCCUCUGGAACCCUCGGGGCAAAGGUCAGAGCGCCGCCCCUCGCCCCGCAGGUCAAAGCGUCUCGUGGCGCGGCGAGAAAACCGGGCCCCGCCUCGGAAGGCGGUGCCAAGAAAACGCCACUCAAAGUCGUUUCCGUGGCACCGCAGCGCAGGCCGGAGCGCAGGCCGGCGCCGGUGCCGGAGUCCUGCGUCAGUACGGGCCCCGCAGAACCACGGCCCGCCACCUCUGGAAGAACAGCUGAGACGGCCCCGCCCCACCAGGAGGACCAGCUGAGCGUCAGCAGGGGGGACGAGGAGCCCACCAACGUCUCUCAGUACUUCUUGAGCGACAUUUUUACAGAAGUGGACGAAUGAGUGGAUAAUCUUUUUUUUAAUUAUUAGUAUUAAAUUUUUUCAUUUAGUUUGUUCUAUAUAGAGAUAUUAAAGAUUAUUCAACUGUUUAAAGUUUAUGUUACUAUUUAUUUGCUGCUGUUUAGUAUCUAGGUUUCAAACACCCUCAUUCUGAACUGUUGUUUGAAUUGACAAUAGAUAGACCAUAACUCCUUUUGUGUAUAUUUUGGUUACUGUUAGUCCUCUGAUGUAUUUUAGUUGGUAGCUCCUCAGAUUAUGACCAUCACUCAUAUUAUGUUGCUUGAGCAAAUCACAGAACUUACGAUUACUGCAUCUCUGGCCUGUUGAAAAAGGUGCCAAUUGUAACCUCAUGAAACCAUAGUGUUUGUAAAGCUGCCAACAUUCUAUUCUUUGUAAACCCACCAGUGUCAUAGUGUCAGUGCUCAUUUCUUGGUUUUGUUUCUCAGGUUAGUGUUAUGUUUACUGUCUCAUACCCAGCAAGUUACCGUUUUCGGAAAUGUUCUGUACUUACUGUUUUUUGCUUGCGUUCUGCUGUUACUAGCUCAAUGUACCAUUGUUUUAAGUUGUCAGUGAUAAAAGGCGAAAACAUUUUGGACACAGUUUAGAACCGCUUCAACAAUCCAUUGUCAUAAAUUACUUCAUUUAUUCAUCCUUUUCUCUCCUGUAAGAUAUGUUAAUA